rnacentral:rRNA from 1 species
GGACUACCGGGGUAUCUAAUCCUGUUUGCUCCCCACGCUUUCGUGCCUCAGCGUCAGGAAUGUUCCAGAGCGCCGCCUUCGCCACCGGCCUUCCUCCCGAUCUCUACGCAUUUCACCGCUACACCGGGAAUUCCGCGCUCCUCUCCCAUCCUCUAGCCCGGCAGUCCCCUCCGAACUUUCCAGGUUGAGCCUGGAGAUUUCACGAAGGGCUUACCGAACCGCCUACGCACCCUGUACGCCCAGUAAAUCCGAACAACGCUUGCCACCUUCGUAUUACCGCGGCUGCUGGCAC